CUCUCUUUUUUUCUAUUUUUCUUUUUUGACCAUGGAAGGUGCAAGGAUGCUUGUAGGGGGGGAUCCUAGUUGGUUCUCCAUCAACUAGUGUUCUUCAAAGGUACCAUUUUCCAGUCAAAGCACACUCAUUUUUCUCCUCCCCCUCAAUAUAUUUAAAGGUCGAGGAAGAAACAACAGUUUCUCCACAACAUCAAAACAUGGUUUUUCACAAGGUUUCUCCUACCAUUUGCAUUCUUCUUUCAGUUUUACUUCUCUUUCUCUCUCAGGAAACCCUAUCGCGGGAAUUGAUUCAAGUUGCUCCAUAUGAAGAUAAAACUGUGCACCUCGAUGGAGAUGUAUCUGGAAGCAACCCCCGUACGUCCGGUAGUAAAGAUUACACACCUCCUCCCAGUACUGCCGGUUCCCCUCCCACAAAGUAACGUGGGUGAUACUGAUACCCUCAUGUUUCGCCCAUCAGUUACUGGGAGAUUUAAAUGGGAAGAACAAGGAAGGAUUUCCUCUGCUGUUGUUAUGGCUUUGAAGAUAAGAGUAAACAAUAUUUUCAUGUAAUGAAUAAAAUAUGUGCUGCUUUCAGCAUUGGUAGAUUGGUUGGACUAAAAGCCAACCGUAUGAAUGAAAGGCCCCAAAUGUUUCUAAAAUGAGAGUGAUAGAUAUGAAUGAGAAACAAUACGUGAAAUCAAGAGAAAUUGGAAGCAUCUCCAAGGGCGUAUUAGUGAUAAUA